rnacentral:rRNA from 1 species
UAUACGACUCUCGGCAACGGAUAUCUCGGCUCUCGCAUCGACGAAGAACGUAGCGAAAUGCGAUACUUGGUGUGAAUUGCAGAAUCCCGUGAACCAUCGAGUCUUUGAACGCAAGUUGCGCCCGAGGCCUUUCGGUUGAGGGCACGCCUGCCUGGGCGUCACGC